UACGGAGGAGGCAAGCGUUAUCCGGAAUUAUUGGGCGUAAAGCGUCCGUAGGUGGAUGGUCAAGUCUUCUGUCAAAGCGCGGAGCUUAACUCCGUAAAGGCAAAGGAAACUGAUUGUCUAGAGUGCGAUGAGGGGCAAGGGGAAUUCCCAGUGUAGCGGUGAAAUGCGUAGAUAUUGGGAAGAACACCGGUGGCGAAAGCGCCUUGCUGGGUCUGCACUGACACUGAGGGACGAAAGCUAGGGGAGCGAAAGGG
rnacentral:rRNA from 1 species